ACUGAUUCAAAUCGGGUCCCGUAAAACAAGGAAACAGAAUGAAGAGGUACGGCGGGUGACCCUCGAACUCACAGAGGCCGAAAAGCUGAAUAAACAAAACCCCUCCACUAAAUUAUGCAAAACCGUUGCCCGUUUACAGAGGAGCUUAAAUGCCAUCUCUUUACAGACAGUAGAGAGAAGAAUGAGAGCUCUUAGACUGUCGUACUACACACAAGGCAACAAAGCGG